rnacentral:rRNA from 1 species
GUGGGGAAUAUUGGACAAUGGGCGAAAGCCUGAUCCAGCCAUGCCGCGUGUGUGAAGAAGGUCUUCGGAUUGUAAAGCACUUUAAGUUGGGAGGAAGGGCAGUAAGUUAAUACCUUGCUGUUUUGACGUUACCGACAGAAUAAGCACCGGCUAACUUCGUGCCAGCAGCCGCGGUAAUACGAAGGGUGCAAGCGUUAAUCGGAAUUACUGGGCGUAAAGCGCGCGUAGGUGGUUUUGUAAGUUGGAGGUGAAAUCCCCGGGCUCAACCUGGGAACUGCCUCCAAAACUGCAUGACUAGAGUACGGUAGAGGGUAGUGGAAUUUCCUGUGUAGCGGUGAAAUGCGUAGAUAUAGGAAGGAACACCAGUGGCGAAGGCGACUACCUGGACUGAUACUGACACUGAGGUGCGAAAGCGUGGGGAACAAACAGGAUUAGAUACCCUGGUAGUCC